GAAAUGCGAUAAGUAGUGUGAAUUGCAGAAUUCAGUGAAUCAUCGAAUCUUUGAACGCACAUUGCACCCCUCGGUAUUCCGUGGGGCAUGCCUGUUCGAGCGUCAUCUACACCCUCAAGCUCUGCUUGGUGUUGGGCGUCUGUCCCGCCUCCGCGCGCGGACUCGCCCCAAAUGCAUUGGCAGCGGUUCCUUGCCCCCCUCUUUGCGCAGCACAUUGCCAUUCGAGGCGGCGGCGGCCCGCGUCCAACAAGCUCAACCCCCCCGUCUUUGACCUCGGAUCAGGUAGGGAUACCCGCUGAACUUAAGC
rnacentral:misc_RNA from 1 species